rnacentral:rRNA from 1 species
UUAGAGUUUGAUCCUGGCUCAGAACGAACGCUGGCGGCGCGCCUAACACAUGCAAGUCGAACGGGGUCUUCGCCUUCGGGCGGAGGUUCAGUGGCGGACGGGUGAGUAACGCGUGGGAACCUGCCCUGGAGUACGGGACAACACGGGGAAACUCGUGCUAAUACCGUAUACGCCCCUUGGGGGAAAGAUUCAUCGCUCUGGGAUGGGCCCGCGUCCGAUUAGCUUGUUGGUGGGGUAACGGCCCACCAAGGCUUCGAUCGGUAGCUGGUCUGAGAGGACGAUCAGCCACACUGGGACUGAGACACGGCCCAGACUCCUACGGGAGGCAGCAGUGGGGAAUCUUGGGCAAUGGGGGCAACCCUGAUCCAGCGACGCCGCGUGGGUGGUAAGGCCUUCGGGUUGUAAAGCCCUUUCAGCGGGGAAGAUGAUGACAUUACCCGCAGAAGAAGCGCCGGCUAACUCCGUGCCAGCAGCCGCGGUAAGACGGAGGGCGCUAGCGUUGUUCGGAAUCACUGGGCGUAAAGGGCGCGUAGGCGGCUGUCUAAGUCGGAGGUGAAAGCCCGGGGCUCAACCUCGGAACGGCCUUCGAGACUGGACGGCUAGAGACCGGAGAGGAGGUGGAAUACCCAGUGUAGAGGGUGAAAUUCGUAGAUAUUGGGUGGAA